rnacentral:lncRNA from 1 species
AUGGGAAAGUUUGCCCUAGCCAAUAUCCUCUUGGUCCUUCUCUUGAACUUGAGCACUUUGCUCAAUGUUCUUGCUUGUCCCUAUUGCCCUUACCCUUCUCCCAAGCCUCCAAAAAAGCCUCCCGUUGUGAAACCACCGGUUCACAAACCACCAAAACCAUGUCCACCACCCAAGUCAUCUCCAAAACCACCCCAUGUACACCCUCCCUAUGUUCCAAAACCUCCUCACUACCCUAAACCACCAGUUCAUCCACAUCCACCCCAUGUCCCAAAACCUCAUCCAAAGCCUCCAGUGCAUCCCCAUCCACCUUAUGUCCCAAAACCACCAGUUGUGCCAGUUACACCACCAUAUGUUCCAAAACCACCAAUUGUGAACCCUCCCUAUGUCCCAAAACCGCCUGUUGUGCCAGUUACACCACCUUAUAUCCCUAAACCACCAGUUGUGACACCACCAUAUGUCCCUAAACCACCAGUGGUGCCAGUUACACCACCAUAUGUCCCUAAACCACCAGUGGUGCCAGUUACACCACCUUAUGUGCCAAAACCACCCAUUGUGAAACCACCAAUUGUUUAUCCACCAGUUGUGCCAAAACCACCAAUUGUUACACCACCUUAUGUGCCAAAACCACCCAUUGUGAAACCACCAAUUGUUUAUCCACCAGUUGUGCCAAAACCACCAAUUGUUACACCACCUUAUGUGCCAAAACCACCCAUUGUGAAACCACCAAUUGUUUAUCCACCAGUUGUGCCAACACCACCUAUUGUGUAUCCACCUGUUGUACCAACUCCACCGGUGGUUACUCCACCCGUGGUUACACCACCAAGUC